UACGAAGGGGGCUAGCGUUGCUCGGAAUUACUGGGCGUAAAGGGCGCGUAGGCGGCCAACUAAGUCAGACGUGAAAUCCCCAGGCUCAACCUGGGAACUGCGUCUGAUACUGGAUGGCUUGAAUUCGGGAGAGGGAUGCAGAAUUCCAGGUGUAGCGGUGAAAUGCGUAGAUAUCUGGAGGAAUACCGGUGGCGAAGGCGGCAUCCUGGACCGACAUUGACGCUGAGGAGCGAAAGCUAGGGGAGCAAACGGG
rnacentral:rRNA from 1 species